rnacentral:rRNA from 1 species
AUACGGGGGAUCCGAGCGUUAUCCGGAUUUAUUGGGUUUAAAGGGUGCGCAGGCGGCCAUUUAAGUCAGCGGUUAAAUCGUGGGGCUCAACCCCAUUCUGCCGUUGAUACUGGGUGGCUUGAUUGCGGUCGAGGUUGGCGGAAUUCGUUGUGUAGCGGUGAAAUGCAUAGAUAUGACGAAGAACACCGAUUGCGUAGGCAGCUGACCAGACCGCAAAUGACGCUCAUGCACGAAAGUGCGGGGAUCGAACAGGAUUAGAUACCCUGGUAGUCCGCACAGUAAACGAUGAAUACUUGUUUUCGGCGAUAUAAUGUCGGAGGCAAAGCGAAAGCGAUAAGUAUUCCACCUGGGGAGUACGCCGGCAACGGUGAAACUCAAAUGAAUUGACGGGG